AUCAAAGUAUCAGUUAACCUUGGACAUUUUUUGCAGCUCCAACCCAUGGGGUGGCCAGAAUGAUUGCGGGCUAGCACAGUUACUGCCCCUGAUCUCGACUAUGUACUGGUUGCCACAUAAAAAUUCAUUUUAUAGGAGCCUGGAGGCGGGGGGUCCUAAGACUGUAACCGUUCAUUCUCCUCCGAAAUGUUUUCUGCUCACUCCUCCAAGAAGCGGUUCACAA
rnacentral:misc_RNA from 1 species